rnacentral:rRNA from 1 species
GAUCCUUCGGGAGAUUAGGUUAGUGGACAGCAGCGGACGGGUGAGUAACGCGUAAAUAACCUGCCAUACACACAAGGAUAGCCAUCGGAAACGGUGAUUAAUACUUGAUGAAGCUAUAAAACCACCUGGUUUAGUAGUUAAAGAUUUAUUGGUGUAUGAUGGAUUUGCGUUUGAUUAGCUAGUUGGUAAGGUAACGGCUUACCAAGGCAAUGAUCAAUAGCCGGCCUGAGAGGGUGAUCGGCCACACUGGAACUGAGACACGGUCCAGACUCCUACGGGAGGCAGCAGUGGGGAAUCUUGCACAAUGGAGGCAACUCUGAUGCAGCAACGCCGCAUGAAUGAAGAAGGCUUUCGAGUCGUAAAAUUCUGUUCUAAGGGAGGAAGAAGUGACGGUACCUUAGGAGUAAGCCCCGGCUAAUUACGUGCCAGCAGCCGCGGUAACACGUAAGGGGCGAGCGUUAUCCGGAAUUACUGGGCAUAAAGGGUGCGUAGGCGGUAUA